CGAAGCGAAGCAGUGACGUGAAGCAAAUCGCACCAAAGCCAGUCCCAGUUCGGAUAAGAGGCUGAAACUCGCCUCUUUGAAGUCGGAAUCGCUAGUAAUCGCAGAUCAGCAUGUUGCGGUGAAUACGUUCCCGGGUCUUGUACACACCGCCCGUCAAACCAUGAGAGUCACCAACACCCGAAGUCCGCCUUGGCGGCCUAAGGUGGGGGAGAUGAUUGGGGUUAAGUCGUAACAAGGUACC
rnacentral:rRNA from 1 species